CGACUGCUAUCGGAUUGGGACUAAGCCAUGCGAGUCAACUCCGCAAGGGGUGGCGCACGGCUCAGUAACACGUAGUCAACCUACCCUAGGGACGGGGAUAACCUCGGGAAACUGAGGCUAAACCCCGAUAGGCUAUAGCCUCUGGGAAUGAGCUAUAGCUGAAAUCUAUAUGGCCCCAGGGAUGGGACUGCGGCCGAUCAGGGUAGUUGGUGGGGGUAAUGGCCCACCCAAACCUAUAACCGGUACGGGCUCUGAGAGGAGGAGCCCGGAGAUGGGAACUGAGACAAGUUCCCAGGCCCUACGGGGCGCAGCAGGCGCGAAAACUCCGCAAUGCGCGAAAGCGCGACGGGGUUACCCUGAGUGCUACCUGCUGAGGGUAGCUUUUCCCUAGUGUAAACACCUAGGGGAAUGAGGGGAGGGCAAGUCUGGUGUCAGCCGCCGCGGUAAUACCAGCUCCCCGAGUGAUAGGGACGAUUAUUUAGCCUAAAGCGCCCGUAGCCGGCUUGGUGUGUUCCCAGUUAAAUCUGGCGAAUUAAUCGUCAGGUUGCUGGGAAUACUACCAGGCUAGGGGGCGGGAGAGGCUGACGGUAUUCCCGGGGUAGGGGUGAAAUCCUAUAAUCCCGGGAGGACCACCAGUGGCGAAAGGCGGUCAGCUAGAACGCGCCCGACGGUGAGGGGCGAAAGCUGGGGGAGCGAACCGGAUUAGAUACCCGGGUAGUCCCAGCCGUAAACGACGCGGGCUAGAUGUUGGAGCAACCCAUGGGUUGCUCCAGUGUCGCAGAGAAGUCGUUAAGCCCGCCGCUUGGGGGAGUACGGUCGCAAGGCUGAAACUUAAAGGAAUUGGCGGGGGAGCACCACCAGGGGUGAAGCUGCG
rnacentral:rRNA from 1 species